GAUAGCGGAUAGUACCGUGAGGGAAUGGUGAAAAGUACCGCGGGAGCGGAGUGAAAUAGUACCUGAAACCGUGUGCCUACAAGCCGUGGGAGCGUCGCGCAUUGAGUUUACUCAAUGCGUCGUGACUGCGUGCCUUUUGAAGAAUGAGCCUGCGAGUUAGCGGUGUGUAGCGAGGUUAACCCGUGUGGGGAAGCCGUAGCGAAAGCGAGUCCGAAU
rnacentral:ncRNA from 1 species